UACGUAGGUGGCAAGCGUUGUUCGGAAUUACUGGGCGUAAAGGGCUCGUAGGCGGCCAACUAAGUCCGACGUGAAAUCCCCAGGCUUAACCUGGGAACUGCGUCGGAUACUGGUUGGCUUGAAUCCGGGAGAGGGAUGCGGAAUUCCAGGUGUAGCGGUGAAAUGCGUAGAUAUCUGGAGGAACACCGGUGGCGAAGGCGGCAUCCUGGACCGGCAUUGACGCUGAACAGCGAAAGCCAGGGGAGCAAACGGG
rnacentral:rRNA from 1 species